AACGAACGCUGGCGGCAUGCCUAACACAUGCAAGUCGAACGAGACCUUCGGGUCUAGUGGCGCACGGGUGCGUAACGCGUGGGAAUCUGCCCUUGGGUGCGGAAUAACAGUUAGAAAUGACUGCUAAUACCGCAUAAUGACUCCGGUCCAAAGAUUUAUCGCCCAGGGAUGAGCCCGCGUCGGAUUAGCUAGUUGGUAGGGUAAAAGCCUACCAAGGCAACGAUCCGUAGCUGGUCUGAGAGGAUGAUCAGCCACACUGGGACUGAGACACGGCCCAGACUCCUACGGGAGGCAGCAGUGGGGAAUAUUGGACAAUGGGCGAAAGCUUGAUCCAGCAAUGCCGCGUGAGUGAUGAGGGCCUUAGGGUUGUAAAGCUCUUUUACCCGGGAUGAUAAUGACAGUACCGGGAGAAUAAGCCCCGGCUAACUCCGUGCCAGCCGCCGCGGUAAAAC
rnacentral:rRNA from 1 species